ACUGGAAGUCUUUUGCAGACUUAAAUGCAAAUGUAGGAGUUCAUCUGAAGUUGUAGAUCUCUUGGACUGUGAGGUUUCACCACAAACAUAGUUAAAACAUGAAAAAAAUUUGUUUUUGUCAUAUGAGAAGUGAUGAAAAACAAUUUUAUGAUCUCCUUCCCCACCGGUGAAAUGAGAUUUUCAAAGCUGUUUUAAAAUGGCUGUUUUAGCCUUGCAUACACAUAGUUCAAAUCUUUGCAAACUGCUUGCGCAUCAAAAAAGAAACCGGAAUAGCCACUUCCUUGUGUUAUACACGUGCAGGCCUACCUUCCCCAUUGGACCAUCAGUUCCUUUCAUGGCUGGGACCAGUUCUUGUUCAUCGUCUUAUCUACCUCUGUCCUCCAAAUACCUAAUGCAUAGUUUUGCACUUAGUGGAUACAAAAAAAAUUGCAAUAAUAAAUAUUAUAAAUUAAAAUUUGGAAAAGAAACUUACAAAAUUCUGGCAAUAAUAUGUAAAUACUGCAUCAGAAAAAUGUUGGAUUCUACAAGACAAUCACAAACCUCACAGACUAAUGGGGAUGAGUACAAUGAGCAGUGCUGUGCUUUGCGACAGGCCACAGCUGACGUUUGGAGUUUAUACCUAUCUCUCCAUGGCUGGAGAGGCUUCUGGACCUCCUCUUGGAUACUAGUGAGGCUCCCACUAAAAGACAAGGAGGGAAAAAGAAGUGAGAGAAGUUAUUCUAAGGCUGGGAUCAUAUGUAAACAUGACUUCACCUACCACGUAUCCCAUGAUCAGGAAAGUCGCUUCAGUGUUGAUCAGGAAACGGGUUCCAAGAAGUUUGGUUGAACAAGAUCUCAUGGACAGUGAUCUGAGUCUUAAAGCCAGCACGUCUCACUCCCAGCUCACUGCUUGGUGCUCUAUGCUAUGCUGCCUCAGUCUCCAUGUUUGUUGGAGAGAUGCACCUUCCAUUACUGUUGUCACUUACAAGACCCAGAAGCCCAUGAGCUUUAACUUCACUGACACUGUGAAUAUGACAGAUGAUCCAGGAAACUGCACCCACUUCUCAAGUUGAUGACUAUAAGCUUCUCAGUACCAUCUUCAGGGCCAUUUUUUUGUGUUUUUUUGCUGUAACAGCUUAUAUUGAGCAUUCAGAAUCUGCUGCAGGAGUACAAGAAGGAGAAGGCUGAGCUGACAGUAUGGGAAUGCUUUGCCCAGAUUCAUUCUUAGGAGAGCCUAAGACUCUAACUCCAAAAAAAGGAAUUCCCUUUGCCUCUGAAGUCAAAUGAAUGGAAAAUGAAUGGAGUUUAGAAGGAAAGUGAAUGGAGCCCCUAAGCAUCAAAACACACUUCCUACCCAUGACUCACAGCUGCCUCCAAUAGCCCUAAGUGGGGUUUCCUUGGAAGCCAGCCCAUAAGACCAUCCCACUAUACAAUCUGGCCCCAGAUGAAUCCAACUCCAUUCUGCAUUUGCAACAUGAGCAACGCCAAGGAAUUGAAGAGAUGAAAAUAUUCAGGUCCCCUCCCAUUCCAAAAUGCUUGCAAAACACCUGAGAGGUGAUUUGGAGAGGACAUUUUAUAAGCUUGCGGUAAAUAGAGGGCA
ensembl:lncRNA